rnacentral:rRNA from 2 species
GGAUCAAUGGAUUGGUCAUGCCGAUGGUAUGUACUGGUCAUAUUGGUUCUCACCUUCUAAGGAACCAUAAUGUCAUUCAUUUGAUGUUUUGGGGAAUUAGGACUGUUACCUUGAAAAAAUUAGAGUGUUUAAAGCAGGCUAACGCUUGAAUACAUUAGCAUGGAAUAAUGAAAUAGGACAUCGCAUUCUAUUUUGUUGGUUUCUAGGAUCGAUGUA